GGAUAGCUCAGUUGGUUGGAGCAUGCUUCUGAUAACUCAAGGUUGCAGGUUCGAUCCCUGUAAGGUACA